UUACGAAAAGUCGCAAUAAUUAAAAGCUAAAUAAUAUUUAUAUAAAUAAUAUUUUUUUUAUAAGAUAUAAAUAAUAAUAUUAUAUAAAUAAUAAUUAUUAUAAACAGGCCGGCCUAUCAGGCUUCGUAGGCCUUUUUAGAAGCCUAAGUCUGGCCUAUUUAUGUAAACAGGCCGUUUUCAAAGCCUAAGCCUGACAUUUUUAAUAACCAGGCCAGG
rnacentral:lncRNA from 1 species